rnacentral:misc_RNA from 1 species
AAAAUAAUCCUACCCUUUGUGAAUUUUGUUUGUUUGAAUAAUUUUUUUUUUUAAAAAAUUAUUGGAGUCUUUCCCUUUAGAGUUUGCUUUUGAAUUUGUAAAAGAAUUCGAAAACAUCUAAAGGGGAUGGUCAAUAAUUUUUUUGAAAAAAGACAUUUUUUAAAAUUAAACUUUUUGUAUUCAUUUGUCUAAAAAUUAUUUUUAUAAUAUAAAAACAACUUUUGACAAUGGAUCUCUUGGUUCUCGCAACGAUGAAGAACGCAGCAAAAUGCGAUAAGUAGUGUGAAUUGCAGAAUACGUGAAUCAUCGAAUCUUUGAACGCAUAUUGCACUUUUUUAGUUUACUAAAAAAGUAUGUCUGUUUGAGUAUCAGUAAAAUAUUCUCAUAAAAAUCAUUGUGUAUUUUUAUGGUUAUGAGUGUUUUGCAACGAUACAAGUUGUUUCACUUUAAAUUUUUUUUUAAUAUUGAAAUUUUUCUAAUUUUAAUAAUUAAAAUUGGAUAAAAUCUUCCCGUCAAAAGGAAUAACCUAAACAAUUUUAAACGAUUAAUUUUAGCAAAAUUUUCGUAAAAAAGGAAAAUUUUUAUUAAAAUAACUUGAUCUCAAAUCAGAUAAGAGUACCCGCUGAACUUAAGCAUAUCAAUAAGCGGAGGAAAAGAAACUAACAAGGAUUCCCUUAGUAACGGCGAGUGAAGCGGGAAGAGCUCAAAUUUGAAAUCUUCAAGGUUUUACCUUGACGAAUUGUAGUUUAAAGAAGUGUUUUCUGCUGAAGUUUUGGUAAGAGUUCUUUGGAAUAGGACAUCAUAGAGGGUGAGAAUCCCGUAUUUGACCAUUAUUUUCAGCUUUGUGAUACACUUUCAAAGAGUCGGAUUGUUUGGGAAUGCAGUCCAAAAUGGGUGGUAAAUUUCAUCUAAAGCUAAAUAUUGGCGAGAGACCGAUAGCGAACAAGUACCGUGAGGGAAAGAUGAAAGAACUUUGAAAAGAGAGUUAAACAGUACGUGAAAUUGUCAAAAGGGAAGCGUUUGACACCAGUGUUGUUUUCUCGAAGAUCAAUUAAAAAUGGCUCGAUUUUGUAUUGCUGAGACCUUAAAAGCUCACUGUACAUUUUUCGUGUCUUUUUUAAUGCACUUUUCGUUUAACAAGUCAACAUCAGUUUCUUUUGUUGUAAAAGGGUCAUUGGAAGGUGUCUUUCUUUUCGGAGAAAGUGUUUAUAGCCUUUGGCCUCUGCAAUCGAAGAGACUGAGGUCUGCAGCGUAGACUCUUCGGGGUUAGAUACAUUUGUGCUAAGUUAUAGCUUUUUAUAGACAACUUGUUGACUAUAAUUAGUCUUGUAGCUUACUCGCUUAUGCUAUUU